rnacentral:tRNA from 4 species
UGCGGGAUGGAGCAGUCUGGUAGCUCGUCGGGCUCAUAACCCGAAGGUCGUUGGUUCAAAUCCAGCUCCCGC